rnacentral:lncRNA from 1 species
CCCAGUCCGAUUUCCGAUUCUUUACCAUAUUUUAUUUGCCUCGUUUCUUUCUUUUUGCCAUUGCUCCUACCACUUCUUCUUCUUCUUCUUUUAUAUUCUCAUCUAAGUAAUAUUACACUAUAACAAAAUAAUCCUAAGACAACACUUUUUUAAGUGUUGAGAUAGAUUUGCCAACAUACGUUUUGACCAACUCCCCCAACUAUAUAAAAG